CAACUUUCAACAACGGAUCUCUUGGUUCUGGCAUCGAUGAAGAACGCAGCGAAAUGCGAUAAGUAGUGUGAAUUGCAGAAUUCAGUGAAUCAUCGAAUCUUUGAACGCACAUUGCGCCCUUUGGUAUUCCAAAGGGCAUGCCUGUUCGAGCGUCAUC
rnacentral:rRNA from 1 species